rnacentral:rRNA from 1 species
UACGGGGGGGCAAGCGUUGUUCGGAAUUACUGGGCGUAAAGGGCUCGUAGGCGGCCAACUAAGUCAGACGUGAAAUCCCUCGGCUUAACCGGGGAACUGCGUCUGAUACUGGAUGGCUUGAGGUUGGGAGAGGGAUGCGGAAUUCCAGGUGUAGCGGUGAAAUGCGUAGAUAUCAGGAGGAACACCGGUGGCGAAGGCGGGUCUCUGGGCCGAUACUGACGCUGAGGAGCGAAAGCGUGGGGAGCGAACAGG